ensembl:snRNA U6 U6 spliceosomal RNA
GUGCUCGCUUCGGCAGCACAUAUACUAACAUUGGAACGAUACAGAGAUCAGCAUGGCCCCUGCGCAAGGAUGAGACUCGCAAAUUCAUGAAGCGUUCCAUAUUUAA